UACAGAGGUCCCAAGCGUUGUUCGGAUUCACUGGGCGUAAAGGGUGCGUAGGCGGUCGGGUAAGUCUGAUGUGAAAUCUCACAGCUUAACUGUGAAACUGCAUUGGAUACUAUCCGGCUCGAGGAAUGGAGGGGAGACUGGAAUACUUGGUGUAGCAGUGAAAUGCGUAGAUAUCAAGUGGAACACCAGUGGCGAAGGCGAGUCUCUGGACAUUUCCUGACGCUGAGGCACGAAAGCCAGGGGAGCGAACAGG
rnacentral:rRNA from 1 species